rnacentral:rRNA from 1 species
UAAAUUAGGGAAUCUUCCACAAUGGACGAAAGUCUGAUGGAGCAACGCCGCGUGAGUGAAGAAGGGUUUCGGCUCGUAAAACUCUGUUGUUGAAGAAGAACAUAUCUGAGAGUAACUGUUCAGGUAUUGACGGUAUUUAACCAGAAAGCCACGGCUAACUACGUG